rnacentral:misc_RNA from 1 species
GUAGGUGAACCUGCGGAAGGAUCAUUAAAGAGAUAGGGUCUUCAUGGCCCGACCUCCAACCCUCUGUUGUUAAAACUACCUUGUUGCUUUGGCGGGACCGUCUCGGUCUCCGAGCGCACUAACCCUCGGGUUGGUGAGCGCCCGCCAGAGUCCAACCAAACUCUUGUAUUAAACCAGUCGUCUGAGUAUAAAAUUUUAAUUAAAUUAAAACUUUCAACAACGGAUCUCUUGGUUCUC